rnacentral:lncRNA from 1 species
GGUUUUUAUUCCAAGUGUAGUGGGAAGCCAAGAAGAGUUUGAAAGAGCAGAGUCAUGCAAUCUGGUUUAUCUUUCUAAAAGAUCGCACUUGCUGCUCUAUGAAGAAGGACUUGGGGAGAAACAAGUAGAAUCAGGGAGAACAGUCCGAGGGCGAUUAAAAUAAUCCAGACGGAAGAUGACUACGUUUUAGUCUGAAGUGAUGGGAGUGGUGAUGGAGAAAAGCAGACGUCUGCGAGUUUUAUUUUGGAGAUAGAGCCACAGGACUUGCAGCAAGCGCUCUGGAGGUGGGAAGGAGGACAAGGAGGAGAGAGGAGCAACCAGAAGCUAUGGUGGCUGUUAGUCUGCAGAAAAUAAUUCAAGACAGAUAUUUGCAAGCUGCAUGGAGCACACGCCCUGUACAUCCAGAUGUCAAUGUGAUCUUUCACAAGCACACUGAAAAAUUCACACCGUGGAAAAGAACUAAAGUCCCAUCCUAAUUCAUCAGAGCCUUCUGUUUCCUGUAACAAAGAAGAACUCACAAGAUCAGGAUUCCAAGCUUCUUGUAUAGAAGAUACCUAAAAAGUGUUUGCUGAAUGAAGAAAUAAAGGAUUGCUCAGGCACCACUGGCACUUUAAGUUGUUCAGCAAGUACUCGUGCCUCUUAAGAACUGGCCAAGGGCCGGGCGUGGUGGUUCAUGCCUGUAAUCCCAGCAUUUUGGGACGCCGAGGCGGGCAGAUCACGAAGUCAGGAGUUCGAGACCAGCGUGGCCAACAUGGUGAAACCCCAUCUCUACUAAAAAUACAAAAACUUAGCCGGGCGUGGUGGCCUGCGCCUGUAGUCCCAGCUACUCGGGAGGCUGAGGCACAAGAAUUGCUUGAACCCACGAGGAGGAGCUUGCAGUAGGCCGAGAUCGCGCCAUUGCACUCCAGCCUGGGCAACAGGGCAAGACUCUGUCCUGAAAGAAAAAAAAAAAAAGAACUGGCCGAGGUCUUAGCUGGAGCACUCUCUCUACCCUGCAUGUUUGACUGCAUUUCUGUCCAUUUUCAAUCCGUUUUGGUUAUACGUUUUUUCACACAGGUCUGUUGAACUUAGAACACCGAAGGCCUGUGUGUUUUCAUGGCUCACAGCUCAUGUUGUGUUGACCUGCCCCACUGUGGUUAAUGUUUAGCCCCUAAACCACCAGCUGAAUGUCCUUAAAUCUGAAAGAAUAAUGAACACACGCCAACAGAGAGCUGAGGUUUAUUUGGUGACUUGCGCCACAUACUUUGCGAAUAUCAUCUCAGUCAUCCUUUUAGCAUCUCUCUCAGGCACAUACUCUCCUCUGUGGUGGCUCAUGCCAGUAAUCCCAGCCCUUUGGGAGGCCGAGGCGGGCAGAUCACUUGAGGCAAGGAGUUCGAGACCAGCCUGGCCAACACGGUGAAACCCCAUCUCUACUAAAAAUACAAAAAUUAGCCGGCUAUGGUGGCAUGCGCCUGUAAUCCCAGCUGCUCGAGAGGCUGAGGCAGGAGAAUCAUUUGAACCCAGGAGGCAGAGGUUGCAGUGAGCCUAGACUGCACCAUUGCACUUCAGCCUGGGUGAGACCCCAUCUCAAAUAAAUAAAUAAAUAAAUAAAUAAGGGAAAAGCUAUCACACAGCAGAAUACAGUCCAAGGGUAACUACUGAAGGGCCAGAUCAAGGAGCAAAGUCUAUCAUGUAUCAACCUUUACAGUGUCCCCAAGGGUCAGCUGUGUAUAGGGGCCCACACAGAAUUUGGAAUCCAAAUACAUCUCUGGAUCCCCAGGCCUGUGUUUGACUCGCCAGGUAGUAAUGAGAUGUCUCCAUUUUCUGCAGGCUGAAUGAUUCCCUCAGAG